UUGAAGGCCAAAACAUCUGGAGGCCCACAGGUUGAGAACCAUUGCUCUUUAGGAAUCUCUAUGUUCUUCUGGUUGACUCUAUGGUACCUUCUGGCAAAAACGUAUUAUAGUAUUGCCUGGAGAACCUAGCAAACUCCUAAAGUGAUAAUUUCUUCUAGACUUGAGCAAGUGAAACCGUGACUAUGAGUUCUGUAGUUACAGGAAGCUAAUUGUAUUACAAACUAUUUUUAUUUGUUGAGUCUCCUUUGAAAAUUUCUAUCCUGUGCUGCUGGGACUUUCAAGUGAGUAAAGUUGACUGUAUAGUUAUAAUGAGUAAUCUAGAAACAAGUUACCUGGACUAUGCACGCAGCAUGCCUGAUCUGGUAUAGCAGUUCCAAGGUUCAUGGUUCCAGCAUGUCUUUCUGACUCAACUGAACAGUCUCUGAUCAGAGAUGGGGGAAUGUGUUGUACAAUAUUCAUUAAUGGAAAAGGGGGGAGUGGAGGAAUAAGGCUUGCAGCAAAUGUAAUGUAACUAAUCAGCUUUGGUGAGUAGAUUAAAGCAUGACAGAAGGGUUGCCAUAUAGUGUAAUGUAAUUGAAAACAAAUGUCUUGCUUCUGUCCAAGAAUGUAUAAAGAUUAGGGAGUAAAUCCAGCAAACAAUAUUUAAAUCAAUUCUAUUGCAAGAGAAAGUCAUAUUACCUUGUACUUAGCAACAUCAAUAGGGAUAUCACAAAUUUACUAGAACACAUUUAGUUUGUCUCCAGUGCCCAAAUAUUAGCCAUUACGGCUGUAUUGUAGUAUUUCCUUACUUCUGGAGGCUGACUGCCCAGCCAUGCUUGUAAGAAGAUUACCAAGGCUUAUUCAAUUUCAAAAUUCAGUUCUACUAAAUAUAACUUUUUGAUUACAAACUUCUUCCAUGGAGAAGCUCUUCUCCAUUUUGUUUUCACAACAACAUACCUGUGUGAGGUAUGUUGGACUAAAAGGUAGUAACAGGCUGAGCAUCAGUGACUUGAACCCAGAUCUCUUCAGUUCUAUAGCGACCAGAGUAUCAUGCUAUCUGUUGUACUCCAGGGCCUCUGCACUUAACCACCACACUUCAGUUCAAGUUAAAACAACAAAGCAAUUUAUUGAAGAUUAUAUAAAAAGCAGUUCAGCAAAAAUAGUAAAAAUGUCAAAGUCUAAAUGUAAAAAAAGUCCAUAAGAUUCAAGGUACAAGAGUUGUUUCAAAAUCAUAACACAAGACAUCCACCAUAGGAUGCAAAAAAGGCAGCAUAAAAAUCCAAUACAGAAAUCCAGGAAUAAUCACUUAAACUUGAAAGCAUGAAACAUGAAAUUAGAAAUCCCUUAGCAGGCUAGCUAAGAUUUGACCAUUGGUGUUGCUUCUCAAACUCCAACAUUGACCAGACUUGAAAAAUCCCUCUGGUGUCUCUAAUCUAGACAUGAAAUCAUGCUGUCUACCCUGAGAAGUUGAUAACGGCUUUUUUUACUAACAAGCGCUGUGACUUUCACAAACUCUGCUGGGUAACUCUGCAUUCGUAAAAACUAAAUCUCCUAUCUAUCAGCUCAUUAGUCUGGGCAUCUGGAACUUCAACCCCUGAGCUCAUCUCAGCCUCUGAUCUUGCUUCCCUAGUGAAAGGCUUCUCAGCAACAUCUGGGCCACUUUCUGGAAUGUGGCCUUCACUAGCUACUGGAGGCAGAGACGGCUCAGUUUCAGGACUUAAAAUCUCCUGCUGGCUCAUAGGCCCAGAAAUCCCAGUGACUUCCUCAGUGACAUCAGGUGCAGGCACAAUCAAGAGAUGAACUACAACACUUUCUGUAUUGAGUGUCGAGCAGAUCAGAAUUCAAAAAUGUGCUCAUGACCCACUUAGAGCCUUUCUUGUGCUACCUAAAUCAGGACCCCCUAAUCUUUUUGCAUCAAUAGAAAUCUUGGGAUUUCAAGAAGAUAUUAAACAAUGAUUUCACCCAAAUUCCCAAAUCACAUCUAAAGUUAACUUAUUGCUGGACUGCAUGGCUCUUGUGGUCUCUUCCAACUCUAUGAUUCUGUUUACUCUAUCAAAUGUAUGUUCCUCUCCUUGUUUCAUCACCAUCACAUAUAACUCUUCUCAUCUGGAUCACGGUGGUGUUCUUUACCUUGCUCCCCUUGCCCUCUCUUACCUAUAGGAACCUCUGUCUAUGCACAAUUAUGCAGUUAAUCUUCACUCAUCCACUAUAGCAGUGGUUCUCAUCCUGGAGUCCCCAGAUGUUUUUGGCCUAUGACUCCCAGAAAUCCCAGCCAAUUUACCAGCUGUUAGGAUUUCUGGGAGUUGAAGGCCAAAAACAUCUGGGGACUCCAAGUUGAGAACCACUGCACUAUAAAAACACACAGAUACCCUAUUCAUCUUCCCCACAUGCCUCAAUGAAGGAAACCAAAUGUAUUUAUUUUUAAUAAUUGAAAAAUUGGGAAGAGAAGGUACCAUGGUACCUAUAAAUAGGCUUUUGGUGUCAAGUGCCACUGCCACUAUGUCAUGCUGGCACAGAAAAAUGCCUCCAUUACACAGUCUUUGUCUUGUGCAAAACUGUGAAAUGAUUGUUUUUACACUAUGCAUUUAAAAUUUUCAUUCCAUUAAUACUAUGUUUUAAUAUUUCACUUGAAGGUUGGGUUGCUGACCUGAAAGCUGCCAGGUUCGAAUCCCACCCGGGGAGAGUGCGGAUGAGCUCCCUCUAUCAGCUCCAGCUCCAUGUGGGGACAUGAGAGAAGCCUCCCACAAGGAUGGUAAAAACAUCAAAACAUCCGGGCGCCCCCUGGGCAACGUCCUUGCAGACGGCCAAUUCUCUCACUCCAGAAGCGACUCAAGUUGCUCCUGACACGAAAAAAAUAAUAUUAUGAAUCAUAGAGCUCUUGCUUGAUAUUGGAAAUUCAGUUAUAGAGCAGAUGUAUGUCCAUUUGAGAAUCUUCAUUGAGAGAAAGCAUAAAGUAUCACAUAAUUAGCAGCUUUUUCUAAAGCUGCAGUACAUGGAAUCACAGUUACCAGCUGACACACCCUUUCAUGCCUCACAGGUGUGGGAAAAUCUCUUGCUCUCGCUUUCUUUGACAAGCCUUCAAUCAUGUUUAGACUCUCUAAUGAUACAUAUGAGGACCUUUAGAUUCUUUAUUUUCACUUUACAAUCCUACAAAUACUGCUGUUUUAUCAACAGCAACUGCUGUAGUUUGUUUUUACCCGGGGUACUGUGAAUUUAUGAUGUUGUGUUUGACUUUAUUGUCUAUGUUUUU